rnacentral:rRNA from 1 species
CAGCAGCCACGGGAAUACGUAGGUGGCAAGCGUUGUCCGGAAUUAUUGGGCGUAAAGGGCUCGCAGGCGGUUUCUUAAGUCUGAUGUGAAAGCCCCCGGCUCAACCGGGGAGGGUCAUUGGAAACUGGGAAACUUGAGUGCAGAAGAGGAGAGUGGAAUUCCACGUGUAGCGGUGAAAUGCGUAGAGAUGUGGAGGAACACCAGUGGCGAGGGCGACUCUCUGGUCUGCAACUGACGCUGAGGAGCGAAAGCGUGGGGAGCGAACAGGAUUAGAUACCCGGGUAGUCCCUGUCUCUUAUAC